CGGUAACAGAUCCAGCUUGCUGGAUGCUGACGAGCGGCGGACGGGUGAGUAAUGCAUAGGAAUCUGCCCGAUAGUGGGGGAUAACCUGGGGAAACCCAGGCUAAUACCGCAUACGUCCUACGGGAGAAAGGGGGCUCCGGCUCCCGCUAUGGGAUGAGCCUAUGUCGGAUUAGCUAGUUGGUGAGGUAACGGCUCACCAAGGCCACGAUCCGUAGCUGGUCUGAGAGGAUGAUCAGCCACAUCGGGACUGAGACACGGCCCGAACUCCUACGGGAGGCAGCAGUGGGGAAUAUUGGACAAUGGGGGAAACCCUGAUCCAGCCAUGCCGCGUGUGUGAAGAAGGCCCUCGGGUUGUAAAGCACUUUCAGCGAGGAAGAACGCCUAGCGGUUAAUACCCGCUAGGAAAGACAUCACUCGCAGAAGAAGCACCGGCUAACUCCGUGCCAGCAGCCGCGGUAAUACGGAGGGUGCAAGCGUUAAUCGGAAUUACUGGGCGUAAAGCGCGCGUAGGUGGCUUGAUAAGCCGGUUGUGAAAGCCCCGGGCUCAACCUGGGAACGGCAUCCGGAACUGUCAAGCUAGAGUGCAGGAGAGGAAGGUAGAAUUCCCGGUGUAGCGGUGAAAUGCGUAGAGAUCGGGAGGAAUACCAGUGGCGAAGGCGGCCUUCUGGACUGACACUGACACUGAGGUGCGAAAGCGUGGGUAGCAAACAGGAUUAGAUACCCUGGUAGUCCACGCCGUAAACGAUGUCGACCAGCCGUUGGGUGCCUAGCGCACUUUGUGGCGAAGUUAACGCGAUAAGUCGACCGCCUGGGGAGUACGGCCGCAAGGUUAAAACUCAAAUGAAUUGACGGGGGCCCGCACAAGCGGUGGAGCAUGUGGUUUAAUUCGAUGCAACGCGAAGAACCUUACCUACUC
rnacentral:rRNA from 2 species